rnacentral:rRNA from 1 species
AUUGAACGCUGGCGGCAGGCUUAACACAUGCAAGUCGAGCGGGGUGAUGGUGCUUGCACUAUCACUUAGCGGCGGACGGGUGAGUAAUGCUUAGGAAUCUGCCUAUUAGUGGGGGACAACAUCUCGAAAGGGAUGCUAAUACCGCAUACGUCCUACGGGAGAAAGCAGGGGAUCACUUGUGACCUUGCGCUAAUAGAUGAGCCUAAGUCGGAUUAGCCAGUUGGUGGGGUAAAGGCCUACUAAGGCGAGGAUCUGUAGCGGGUCUGAGAGGAUGGUCCGCCAAGCUGGGACUGAGAGACGGCCCAGACUCCUACGGGAGGCAGCAGUGGGGAAUAUUGGACAAUGGGGGGAACCCUGAUCCAGCCAUGGCGCGUGUGUGAAGAAGGCCUUAUGGUUGUAAAGCACUUUAAGCGAGGAGGAGGUUGUUUUGGUUAAUACCCAAGAUGAGUGGACGUUACUCGCAGAAUAAGCACCGGCUAACUCUGUGCCAGCAGCCGCAGUAA